GACUUGUAGAUGGAGUCCUCUGAACAAGAAGGCCACCAUAGCAGUUCUGGAGAAGGCCAACUAGCGUCAAAACUCCACCACCCAACAUGAAGGAGGUGAACACCUGAUUGGCAAAGAGUACUGAAGGUAGACCCAGUUCUCAAGGCAACCACAAAACACCAAAAAAUUCAGAGACAGCACUGGAUCCUCUUGUUCUCUGCUGGGAGAUGACCUUGAGAGUGUUCUCUGUUGAGAGAUGACUCUUGAGAGUGAAUUCUCUUUUAUGAUUUUCAGCAUAUGACUCUAAGUUUUUUUCUUCUGAACCCAAGAACUGGGGUUUGGACCUUCAGCCCCCACUCUCCUAUGACAGGACAGACUUCUGGCCAUCUUUGGAUAGGACAGUCUCCAGCAUGAAAUUCAAGAUAUGGGGUGAUGCCACAGACAGUUUUUCUUGCAAAGGUGGGGCGCUCUGUCCUGGCCUAUCAGAAGUCUCCAAGAAUUGGGUUCCACUGAGCAGCCUGGCUCCUGGGACAGCUGAGGUGAGGGGAGGUGUUACCUGUGUAAGCCUCUUCAGUCCAGGCCCCAGCUACCUUAUCUCCAAGCAGGCCAGAACGUGGAUAUGUGACAGCUAAUCCCCAAACCUCCCAAACAGGCAUCCUAGGAAUGAAGACACAAUUGCUGGCCUGUUGGUGGUGUUUCCUCUGUGCCUCUGGGCAGUGUUUUGCAAUAAACUGUUCUGUCUGGCUUCUCUAUGUACACAGAACUAGCUUAUUGGCUUCUCUAUGUACACAGAACUAGCUUAUAUCCCAGAGGGUAGCAGGGGAUCAGGUAGUUCACUUCAGAGGGCCACCCAUAGCAUCCAAACUUUUUUUUUUUUAGGUGAAGAACACCCCUCCAGUCUCAGAUAGGAGCAAACAUCAAAAUAGUUCUGCAGUAUCCCUUCUUCGUGGUGACCAUGGGCCCACUCUCACUUCUGUUACCAGACCAUUUACCUGUCCUGUCCCCAUCAACAUAGCUACUUCCAAUGUCUUCUCCCUUUUCCUCCCCUCCAAAAUCCCACUGAUAUUGCAAACCAUCCAGAAGAAUAGACUCACAUUAAGUCACAGAGUGUACACAAGCCAGAUUUAGCACAACUGUCCACCUACAGAACAGG
rnacentral:lncRNA from 1 species